GCCCAUAACCAAGCCAUCCUAGAAUGUGCUCGAUCUCAACAGAUCUUCAAAGCUAAGGCAGGGUUGAGCCUGGAUUGUGCUUGGAUGGGUGACCACUGCACAAGGUUGUCAUUGGGG
rnacentral:rRNA from 1 species